rnacentral:rRNA from 1 species
UACGGAGGGUGCAAGCGUUAUCCGGAUUCACUGGGUUUAAAGGGUGCGUAGGUGGGCAGGUAAGUCAGUGGUGAAAUCUUUGGGCUUAACCCGAAAACUGCCAUUGAUACUAUUUGUCUUGAAUAUUGUGGAGGUCAGUGGAAUAUGUCAUGUAGCGGUGAAAUGCUUAGAUAUGACAUAGAACACCAAUUGCGAAGGCAGCUGGCUACGCAGAUAUUGACACUGAUGCACGAAAGCGUGGGGAGCAAACAGG